CAGAGGAGACUGACUAAAGUUUGGUUGACGACGGAGUCCUUGUCACAGCAAAGAAUCAUCCUGCCCUUGUCUAUUCUUGGGUAAAACCCACCCCAGCCUUCCUCAUGGCUCCUGUAAGACUGGCAAAUGCUGAACUUGCUUAUCUGCCUCCAUGAAGCCCUACAUUCCUUUCAUUGUCUGAGAUCUUCCUCAUUAAUAAGUAUUCUCCUUAUCCCAACAACCUGAGUAAAGUCAUCUCCUUGGUUGACUGGUGCAAUUUGUCUUUCACAGUUUUGGUGCUGUGUUUCAGGCAGGAGCAGAAUCCUCACCUUUGGAACCCUGUUCACUCCACCCAGAACAAGAAACAGAUCGAGGAAGAGGCAGAGUAACAACAGCCGGGAAGAAGAUACAGUUUUGUCAUUUUGUAGUGAGACUGUGCCCUAUACAUGAACCUAUUUGCCAGACCCAUCAAGUGAAUUCCGUGAUUCUUAUGAAAAAUGCCAUUAGACCUGUGAGAGGGGCUGUGACAGUGGAACCCGAAUGAAGACAGGAAAAGUCUGUAGAGGACUGAUGGUUAUGUUCACCAUUCAAAUUGCAAGAAAACCAAUAAGAAGUCAGUAAAGUGCAUUCAAAGAGAAAGGUGGGACUCGUGAAGGGGCCAAGGGAAAAGAGCUUCAUUAGCAUAUUUGUCAAGCAGAUGUGAAAUGAGGCAGAAAACUACUAGAACAAUUGGAGAAAUCUAGAAUAUGAAGUUCCAGCACAAACUUAGAUGGCUUCUAACUAUGUGAAGGUUUGAACAGCAGCUUCUGACAUAGAAAAUAACCACAGCAAAAAGAAGCACUAACAAGUGACAGAUGUGGUUGACUCAUCUCCUUCUCCCUUCGACUCUCUAAUGAGCAAUUAAAUAGCCUGAAACAGAACAAUCAAGAGGUCUGGCAAAUCCACACACUAGAUGACUGCCUUUUCACUUAACUGUGUCCUCAUAUGGAAGAGAGGAGAAAAGAGGAGAGGAGGGGAGAGCAGCAAUACUAAACUGAUACACAAAGGAUCCCCGUACUUCAUCAAAAUAUCAAUGUUGUCCAUGACACACAAAGAACCCAGCUGUAGUUUAAUUCAGCAUCACAGUCCCAACAUGUUUUAAAACAUGUUCCAGCUUUUGGUCCCAGGAUUAUUCAACCUAGCUCAUAAAAGAAAACAAUAUUGCAUUUCUAAGUAUUGGCUCCUAGAAUUGGCAAGUUUAGUCAAGAAAAGCUGGAAUGCCGUUAAAACAACACCCUGUCAUCUUUCAAUCAGUCCUUAGCUGAAGUUAAAAUCCCACUCAUUCUGCAUGAUCCAGCCUCUGUAGCAUAGAGUGAGUAGCCCCUUAACAAGAACCAAAAUGGAGGGUACGGAUGAGGCUCAGAUCGUCACCACCUGGAGAAUAGAGACAGUGACUGAGUCACCAGGAAAUCUGUCCCCUGCUCAUCCCAGAAUCCCCGAGCUUUGACUUUUUAAGAGAACAUGUGACAGAUAAUGCCAUCUGAGAAGUCCAGCUUAGGCAACUCAGUCAUCAAUGUGUCCUCGAGAAGAGCAUAUCCCCAAAUUGGAAAAUAAUCCUUCAGGGCAUCUGAACAUAACCACAUUUGGCUUACUUUGUGAAGCAGUUGUCUGAAUAGAAUAAGACUGGCUUGGAACGAGAUUCACAGAGCAACCAAAUAAAGAUGAUUGAGUGAAUGGCUAAAGAAAUAAAUAUGUUCGAAUCUGUACCCAUCUCAUGUCUUUCCUGAUAUUUCCCGUAGGGCUUUCAUCAACUCUACUGUG
rnacentral:lncRNA from 10 species